AAGCUCACUCACACUCAAUGAGUGGAGGUUCAAUCUGAGCUUCUCUCGAGUGUCAAUGCUGUUUUUGAAUAGCUGGAGGGCUAGUGUCAUACCUUACUCGGUAACUACUCACCCUCCAGCUAUUCAAAAACAGCAUUGACACUCAACAGAAGCUCAGAUUGAAUCUCCACUCAUUGAGUGUGAGUGAGC
rnacentral:miRNA from 1 species